rnacentral:rRNA from 1 species
CUCUGUGACUCCUACGGGAGGCAGCAGUGGGGAAUAUUGCUACAAUGGGGGAAACCCUGAUGCAGCCAUGCCGCGUGUGUGAAGUAAGGCCUUCGGGUUGUAAAGCACUUUCAGUAGGGAGGAAGGUAGUGUAGUUAACACCUUGCAUUAUUUGACGUUACCUACAGAAGAAGCACCGGCUAACUCCGUGCCAGCAGCCGCGGUAAUACGGAGGGUGCGAGCGUUAAUCGGAAUUACUGGGCGUAAAGCGCAUGCAGGCGGCCUGUUAAGUCAGAUGUGAAAGCCCGGGGCUUAACCUCGGAAUUGCAUUUGAAACUGGCAGGCUAGAGUCUUGUAGAGGGGGUAGAAUUUCAGGUGUAGCGGUGAAAUGCGUAGAGAUCUGAAGGAAUACCAGUGGCGAAGGCGGCCCCCCUGGACAAAGACUGACGCUCAGAUGCGAAAGCGUGGGGAGCAAACAGGAUUAGAUACCCUGGUAG